AGAACGAACGCUGGCGGCAUGCCUAACACAUGCAAGUCGAACGCUUGCCGGGCUUCGGUUCGGCAGGAGUGGCGCACGGGUGAGUAGCGCGUGGGAACCUGCCCUGUUGUGGGGGAUAACCGAGGGAAACUUCGGCUAAUACCGCAUAAGCCGGUUGUCUUGAAAGAGAUGGCCGGGAAAGAUUUAUCGCGACAGGAGGGGCCCGCGUCGGAUUAGGUAGUUGGUAGGGUAACGGCCUACCAAGCCUUUGAUCCGUAGCUGGUCUGAGAGGAUGAUCAGCCACACUGGGACUGAGACACGGCCCAGACUCCUACGGGAGGCAGCAGUGGGGAAUAUUGGACAAUGGGCGCAAGCCUGAUCCAGCAAUGCCGCGUGAGUGAUGAAGGCCUUAGGGUUGUAAAGCUCUUUCGCCCGCGACGAUGAUGACGGUAGCGGGAGAAGAAGCCCGGCUAACUCGCGCCAGCAGCCGCGGUAA
rnacentral:rRNA from 1 species